UACGUAGGGUGCGAGCGUUGUCCGGAAUUAUUGGGCGUAAAGAGCUCGUAGGCGGUGUGUCACGUCGGCCGUGAAAACCUGCAGCUUAACUGUGGGCGUGCGGUCGAUACGGGCAUCACUGGAGUUCGGCAGGGGAGACUGGAAUUCCUGGUGUAGCGGUGAAAUGCGCAGAUAUCAGGAGGAACACCGAUGGCGAAGGCGGGUCUCUGGGCCGAUACUGACGCUGAGGAGCGAAAGCGUGGGGAGCAAACAGG
rnacentral:rRNA from 1 species